AGCGAACGCUGGCGGCAGGCCUAACACAUGCAAGUCGAACGAACUCUUCGGAGUUAGUGGCGGACGGGUGAGUAACACGUGGGAACGUGCCUUUAGGUUCGGAAUAACUCAGGGAAACUUGUGCUAAUACCGAAUGUGCUCUUCGGGGGAAAGAUUUAUCGCCUUUAGAGCGGCCCGCGUCUGAUUAGCUAGUUGGUGAGGUAAAGGCUCACCAAGGCUACGAUCAGUAGCUGGUCUGAGAGGAUGACCAGCCACAUUGGGACUGAGACACGGCCCAAACUCCUAUGGGAGGCAGCAGUGGGGAAUCUUGCGCAAUGGGCGAAAGCCUGACGCAGCCAUGCCGCGUGGAUGAUGAAGGUCUUAGGAUUGUAAAAUCCUUUCACCGGUGAAGAUAAUGACUGUAGCCGGAGAAGAAGCCCGGCUAACUUCGUG
rnacentral:rRNA from 1 species